rnacentral:lncRNA from 10 species
CAUGGGCACAGAGCCCUGCAGGAUUUGCAGCCAGCGUGGGCAGCAGCGCCCUAGCACCAGUCACCCCCUCAACACUCAGCAUUUGCUCUGGGCCUUGGACAGUGCUGGGCAACAGUCAUACAGAGAAACUCUUUGGGUCCACAACACCUUACCAGCUUUACUCAUAGAACAUGAGCAUGUGAUCUGGUCUCUUCAUGGAAUCCAAGAAGUAUUUAUCUUUUUUGAAUAGCCAAAAUAUGUAAGGGUGAAGGGAAGGAGUUAUAAUUGCCUGGCCACUGUGUGAUUUCUGAAAUUGGAAAUAUGUCUACACUGAAAGUACAGUGAUUCUGUGAAAACCCCAGGUAGUUGUCCGGGAUUAACUGCUCGAGUCCCUAAAGCAAGAAGCAAGAAGCAAGAAGCACAAAGGCAGAACAAGCUGUGCACCACAGACACAACAUCUUACACAAGACUGAAGCUGGGAGCACAUGCUUCCAGACAGUUGUUUGGAGGGUGCAUUCAACUCUGUCAGAAAGCUUGACUCCAGACUCCCAGUGUUUUUCUACACAUGAAUACAGAAUUGUACGAAAGAAGUAUCUGGUUUUUUGUUCAAUCUUCACACGCCUUCCUGAUUUUUUUUUUUUUUUUUUUGUGAUGGGAAUAACAAUGGUAUGAACCUUAAAAAUGGCAAAGUCAGAGGCAGGGUGCAUUAUACACAAAACAUACAGCUUUAUCAUUUCAAACAUUCUUCAGAGAUCAUAUGAUUUGGAAACAUAAAAUGCAAGUGCAUUGUUAUAAGGAAAGUCAGUCCUGUAAAUACUAACUAAAGUGUCAUAAUAAAUGUCUCUGUUGUAAUCAAAUAUUACACAUUUAUCUUGAAAAAAAAAUCAGCAGCAAACAGAGCUCUUUGCAGCCCCCCAGUGGUUGGAAGGGGAAAGAAGCGAGAACAAGGGGAAUUCGGACAGUUAACUCUCAAUCUGCAGGGCCAAUAAACUUUUUACCCUGGAAAAACAAAUGUCUAGUUUGUUUGUUUGUUUGUUUGUUUUUGAGACGGAGUUUCAUUCUUGUUGCCCAGGCUGGAGUGUAAUAGCGCGAUCUCGGCUCAUUGAAACCUCUGCCUCCCGGGUUCAAG